rnacentral:rRNA from 1 species
UACGUAGGGGGCAAGCGUUGUCCGGAAUCAUUGGGCGUAAAGCGCGUGUAGGCGGCUCGGUAAGUCUGCUGUGAAAGUCCAAGGCUCAACCUUGGGAUGCCGGUGGAUACUGUCGAGCUCGAGUCCGGAAGAGGAGUGUGGAAUUCCUGGUGUAGCGGUGAAAUGCGCAGAUAUCAGGAGGAACUCCAAUGGCGAAGGCAGCACUCUGGGACGUGACUGACGCUGAGACGCGAAAGCGUGGGGAGCAAACAGG